UGUAAGCUGACUUUUACACCCGUUUAUUUAAUAGUUAGAAUCCAUUUAAAAAAAUGAAAAACAUGUGUGUUUGUCAUACAUAAGCAUUGUGAAUGAUAGGCAACAUUUUUAAAGACAUUUUAAAUCAAAGAGGGAUAGCAUCAAACACUACUCGCAGUAACCAUUUAAUACUUCGUAAAAAUCCAUCAAUAUACAUAGUAUUUAUAUCCAACUGUAUCUUUGGACCAACAAUAGUAAUUACAUACCAGUGGUCUCUACAGUCUUUACUCAUUAUAAUUCCAUUCUUGUACUUCUUGUCCAUUGCAUCCGCAUCAGAUGACUUAACUCUAAUAUAUUUUAUGCAUGUCACAUAAUAUCAAGAAUCAAACACAUCAAACAUUCACAUGUGCAUCAAUGCCAUAAAGAAAAAUACAUCAUUAUCAUUGGUAUCAGAGUUUUGAAAGCUGUAUCAGUGGUGUCUUUAGCUUUGAUUGUGAUGUCUAUUUUUUUUUUGACCCAGUAAUAUUGUAUAUUUCAUUACCUGUCAUCUUGUUUGUUUUUUGUUUUUUGCUUAUUUAGAGUUGAGUUAAAUCCAGUGAGAUCCAUGUGUUGUUAUAUAUAUGAUGUUAUGAUAUACAUAUGUGUGUUGUGUUCUAAUUUUUCACAGUUAACAAACCAAAACACGGAACCUAAAUACAAGUUCACAAUUUACAGCAGAAAACAGACACACUUGUUCUAAUUCCACAAAUGAAAAGUUGUUGUAUUUAAAGGAGGUAUAAUCUGACUGACUAAACAUUGCAGCAUACGUCUCUCUCUCUCCCUCCCUCCCUCCUACACAACGUUAUCCCAGGCCUCCAGGUCAUCGUAGACCUUGUGCGGAGGGAAGCUGGGAUACCGCAAACAGAUCUGACACAGUCUCCACUUCAAGUUGUUGUGCAAUUCCACCUUCCACUCUCUCCUCCAUUGCAGAUACUCGCGAUAGUGCUUGACGUCGCCUGCCAGCUGCUGCAGAUACUCUCCAAGCUCUUUCACCGACGCAAACUGGUCAACGUGGAUGAACGAGUGAGGCGGCGCCACAGCCUCGUAAUCUUGCACAGAUGCUCCCAGGACGACCGGAACCGCCCCAGAUUGUGUGUAAGGCGUCAUCUUGGUUGUAGACCAAGUGGAGACCAGCUGCUGGGUCUCUGCCACACCAGAGUCCAUUUGGAGAGACUGGAGGAGAUGCGGAUGAAGAGACAGGGCUGCGGAGCUAGCGCUGAGCGCCGGGACGGACGGGCUUCACAGUGUCUUGGCUGAAUGAGCAGCUUGAUCCUGAAAAAUAAUUGUGUCGCACAACGAAACAGUUGGCCCAUCUUUCGAGCUGUGUAACAUAUUUUGGCGAGCCAGCCAGGAGUGGGCACCAGUGAGUCUACGCCACCACCAUCGACCCUCCUUCCCAAGAGACGGACCUUAUUCUUCUAUUAAACAUGGAAAAAGUACAGCCACUGCGUGAUGAACUGAGUGCAGCCUUGUGGCAGCUGGAGGAAGAGCUUCUCGUGGAUGUCUGCGGGCGACUGAAAUGUUCCGGCCUGGACAGCGGAGAGUCUCGCAGCAAGUCAAGAAGGGCGCUCAUCGAGAUGGCAGAAGGCGCGUUUGAUGAGAUUGAGGAAAGUGAACAAGAAGAACAAGUUGAAGAAUGUUAUAUAGAGUUAAGUAAAUAUCUGAAUAAAUUAAACGUUGAACCAUUGUCAAAGAAAGGAUCAGAGAAACUGUUUGAGCCUGACACUUCACCCAAAAGUACACCUUCUCCACUCAGAGUUCGACCAGAGCAAAAACGUUCUCUGCAAGAGGUAACUUUGAGAAGGGAGUUCAAGAUCUGUGGGCAGAUAGGUGAACCCGGACAGAGGGAUAAGCUAUCCUACCUCAGUCUUGUGCGUCAAAUUGGGGUGGGGACUGAAAAAGGACAUUCAGAGACUGAAAUAAUCGAAGCUGUAAUCGGGGCUAUUAGUCCAGGCCUGCCCCUCCAGAGAUAUGCUGGAAAUAAAACGUGAACUGACCCACAAUAAGCUGUUCACCAUAUUAAAGGGACACUACAAGGUAGACAGCCCCACAGAGCUAUACCACCAGCUCCUCAAUAUCUCCCAAGAGCCCAGAGAGACUGUCCUGAACUUUGUUUUUCGUGCCAUUGAACUGAAAGAGAAACUGUUGUGGAAAGUCGCUAAUGAGGAAACUGAUUAACUUUACAGCCGACGCACAAUCCAGCGCAAGUUUUUACGUUCCAUUGAAACAGGGCUGCUCUGCCAUUCCGUUAAGUAUCAGUUAAUUCCCCUCCUCAGUGAUGUGAGCACAACAGAUGAAGAAUUGAUCGAAAGAGUAACUGAAGCGUCAAAGCUGGAAAGUGAAAGACUUGAAAAACGUAAAAGGUCAGGUGCAACCAAGACUCCCAAAGUGCAAGAGCUCCAAACAGAAUGCCAGGCAGACCCCGCACCUGUCCAGAGCCCCGCAAAGCGCAGGGAAGCCCAGACUGCAGUGGCCGUGAAAGGUAAAGAGACUAAAAGUGAAAGCCCUGACACACAACAAAUCAUUGAAGCGUUGCGUAAAGAAAUUAAGCAAAUGCUUAUGACAAUGAUGGAGACCAGUCCCUGUGCAAGUGGACCAAAGCAGAGAGAAAAGGGCUGUACAAAGUGUAAAGAAGAGGGAACAGGAGAUAACUGUUCACACUGCUUCAAAUGUGGACGUGAGGGUCACUUCUCUCGGGGAUGCCGAGCUCUGAGACAGUCGGGAAACGGGGAGGGACUACUGAGAUGGGACCACCAGUAGUCCAAAGCCAAUCGUCCCAAGGUGAGCUCCCAAAUCCGGAACCAGCCCCCACACAACCUACAGUCAAUGCCAGUGUAAGCGAAGUUCACUAUUUACCCCCUCAACGCAAGUCACAGCUAGUCAGCCUUGUGGGAAACAGAUGUACAGUGAACUGUGUUAUGGACAAUCAUCCAGUCAAAGUUUUGUGGGACACGGGCCCAGUCGAGUAUUGUCAAUGAAAACUGGCGACAACAGCAUCUUCCCCACACAGUCGUCCGGCCGAUAUCUGAACUGUUAGAAAAUGAGCAGUGUUGGGACUAACGCGUUACAAAGUAACGCGUUACUGUAACGCCGUUAGUUUCGGCGGUAACUAGUAAUCUAACGCGUUAUUUUUUUAUAUUCAGUAACUCCGUUACCGUUACUACAUGAUGCGUUACUGCGUUAUUUUACGUUACUUUUUAUGUAGUAUAAAGUGUGUUUUAUCGGAGGGCUGCUGUGUCGUUCUGAUUCUUCUUGUGUCACAAGCCGGAGAAGAGAGAGAGACAUGCGCUCUGUGUGGGUGUGUCUGAGUGUGA